rnacentral:rRNA from 1 species
CGCGCAGGCGGUCGUUCAAGUCGCGUGUGAAAGCCCCCGGCUCAACGGGGGAGGGUCACGCGAUACUGAUCGACUCGAAGGCAGGAGAGGGUAGUGGAAUUCCCGGUGUAGUGGUGAAAUGCGUAGAUAUCGGGAGGAACACCAGUGGCGAAGGCGACUACCUGGCCUGUUCUUGACGCUGAGGCGCGAAAGCUAGGGGAGCAAACG